rnacentral:misc_RNA from 1 species
UUUCCGUAGGUGAACCUGCGGAAGGAUCAUUAUUGAAUUCAUCUGCUGGGUUGUUGCUGGUUCCUUAUGGUUCAUGUGCACGCUUAGCUUUUGACUUUAUCCCCCUGUGCACUUUUGUAGUCGGCUUUUGUGUUAGGUCAAGUGUCUAGUAUUAGAAAUUUGGCUGAGCAUAAAGUUGUUCUACGUUUAUACAAACCCAUUGUAUGUUCAGAAGUUUUUUAUUGGUCGGAAGACCUUUAAUCAUAAUACAACUAUUGACAACGGAUCUCUUGGCUCACGCAUCGAUGAAGAACGCAGC